rnacentral:rRNA from 1 species
CCCGCACAAGCGGUGGAGCAGUGUGGUUUAAUUCGACGCAACGCGAAGAACCUUACCAGGCUUGACAUCCCCUGACCGCGUAUGAAAGUACGUUUUCACCUUCGGGAGACAGGGAGACAGGUGGUGCAUGGUUGUCGUCAGCUCGUGUCGUGAGAUGUUGGGUUAAGUCCCGCAACGAGCGCAACCCCUACGUUUAGUUGCUAACGCGUGAAGGCGAGCACUCUAGACGAACUGCCGUUGACAAAACGGAGGAAGUGGGGAUGACGUCAAAUCAUCAUGCCCCUUAUGUUCUGGGCUACACACGUGCUACAAUGGCCGGUACAGACGGACGCAAAGCCGCGAGGCGGAGCAAAUCCGAAAAAGCCGGUCCCAGUUCGGAUUGGAGUCUGCAACUCGACUCCAUGAAGUUGGAAUCGCUAGUAAUCGUGGAUCAGCACGCCACGGUGAAUACGUUCCCGGGCCUU